GUUUUUUUGGGUAGACUAGAAAGGAAGGCGGUGGUCACCAUGGUAACAAGCCAUCCUUGCUGAUGGUGACAUCAUCUCAUUUGCAUAUUUCAAUGGAUGACCAUCAUGUGAUUCGCAGCUUUUAUUCAUCCCUUGUAUAUCUUUCAUCAUAUUAACGUGGGCGUGCGUGUGUGGGCGUGCGCGGAACAUCAUGACGUUCUGCUGAAUAUCGCCAUGCCUCCCCAGCAAAGUGCAUGUGACAGCAGGAAGAGACGCAUGAUUAGCGGCGAGUACUCCAGCCAGCGCCUCCCCGCCCACGGGGACAGGAGAGCCAAUCAGGAGAAGACAAAUGAGCAGGUUGAAAAACGGCCAGUGUCUGCUUCUCAGGAACCAUUUAGCCGCUGUCCAAUCAGAAGCUAUUGUGACAGAAGGGGAGGAGCCUGAGUGGCGCCAGGAAGUGGUCUAGUUAAGGUGGGUGUGGUCCAAUUUGAAGUCUGGAGAUACAAAAGACGCUUGCAGAGUCAGCAUGUGAGUGGACGUUCUCGAAGGCACACGGCGUUCCCUCCGAGCCAACGCGCUGAUCCCUCAGGUGAGUGGUUUCCACGGCAACAGUGGAUGCCAAUCAACCUGCUGCACCUGAUUGAUUGAUGUUUCCGACAAUGUUGUACGAGGUAGAACAUCUAAGCUGGCUCAUCCUGACAUCCUGAGAUGUUUCCCAGCCUCUCCUGACUGCAAGGCAGAUGUGCUCACCACGACGCCACCGUGCUAACCACGACACCUCGUGGAUAAAAGACGACAAGUUUUCAUCAAGAGGAUGAAUAAAGUAGCAGAUGAGCUCGCAUGCUAACGCUAGCACGUAACUGGAACGUCUGAACCCUCGCCUAACCUGCUGGCCACUUCAUUAGGUACAUCGUCUCAUGACGUCCAUGGCCAAACAUCCUAGCUUAAAAAGAUGAGAAUGUUGACUUUCAGAGAGAUAUUCAAGUGUUAACAUUCAUUCGCAUACACACACACUCUAUUAGCAUAAUAGUGCUAAGUGUUUAUGUACGUGUCUAGCUAUGAAAAUGGCUAAAAAUGCUACUAUGUUAAUGUUAGCAUGCUAACAAUGCUAACUUGCUAAACAGCAAACAUUUCAUAUCAGUUAUUUCUUACAUUAGUAAUUCACUUUACACAGUACACAUCAUUUGGUAAUUAGUUACGACAAAAAGACCCGAAAUUUCCACCACUAACAGGUAGCAAAGUAAUGAGAUCAUGUGACAUGUGGGGUACUGAAUGAACACGUGAUGCUUCUCUGACUGUCAUGCAUUUCACAAAUAAACACAAAACAGGGCAAGGCAAAUACUGCAACAUGCAAUACAAAUGAUACAAAACGUGCCAACAUUAUUUUCAAAAUCAUUUUGUCCCAAAGCAAAAAAGUCAUUAAAAAAUGAAAUGAACUUAAAAUGAAAAAAAAUGAUGCGCCACACAUAGCCAGACCAAAUAACAUCCUUUUCUGAUGUAUCUUUGCAAUCGAGAAGUGCAAAACACAAAACAAACAGACAAACAAAUCACAAUUAAACCAGCAGGAAGAGGAUUUUACACCCGCAAGGGUUGUCAAAAAUCUCAUUUAACUGCAAUAAUUUUUUUUAUGUGCGCACGUCUUGUUUGACCCUCGGCCUACACCGUAGUUUGAGGAAGUGGCAGUGACUGGCGCCACAAGCGGGAACGAAUAUUAAGCAGAAAUGGAGAAAGAAAAUUGUAUUUUCAUUGGUGAAUUUAGCUUGAAAGCCCCGGCAGAUGGCUCUCGCUUCAAGAAACAAGUUAUUUGAUUGGAAUUGCCAAGGACACCCAACUAAAGUGCGAAGCAGGAACGUGCGGACUGAUACACACUGCGCGCGCACACACUUCCUGCCAGCAAACCUUAAUCCCAGCUGAAGCAACAGCAUCUUCAUCUUCUACACAUGCAGGCAGCAAACCAGGAGGAUGAUGAUGAUGAUAGUCAUGAAACCUCGCCUUCGCGUGUGGGCACGCGGACGUGCUCGCGCGCAACCUCUCUCCAAAAGGACCGAUUUUGAAGGACCAUGCGCGCUCACCACGCCCCCGCGCAAAGGCGCCCAAACGGGAGCGUGACCGCGCACCGCGCGUGUGAUGGUACUGACCUGCCGCCAAACAGGAUCCCGCCGGUGUGCAGCCGAACCCCCGUUUGACGACCCGCCUUUAUCUCCUCGCUCUGCCCCGCCCUCUCCUCCGCCUCUGCGCGACCCCCACCAGCACAGCACGAGCAUAUGCACGCCGUCAACACACACCACGGCGUAGGCCAGCAGAGGACGCUUGGGGUGCCAGGCCACUGUGAAGGUGGGCGAGUCACAUUGAACUUCCCAAAGCUUCUCACCUGCGCACACGCAAACACCGUGAGCGACGCCGCAUGCACAAGUCGCAUGCAAACUGGCUUCGUGGCAGCAGACUGACCUGUUUCCACCUCGGCGAUGUCGAUGAAGUGGUCCUCCGACGCCGACGCCAGCAUCUUCCCAUCGUGACUGAAGCUCAGCGUCCUCACAGGCCAGUCCAGCCUGCAGCACACAACCCAUGACUUUACUUGACAUGAAUAACUACAUAGUCAUUCAAUUCAGUCUGUUGACUGGAACACGCAAGUACUACUACUACUACUACUACUACUACAACAUGUACUACUACUACUACAUGUACUACUGCAUUUUGCUUUAGCGGGAAGUUGUCCAUGUUGAUGUUGGAAUCUGUUGAGAAGUGUGGAAUUUGUUGUUGAAUGCCUUUGAUCUAAUUAGAUCUCAGGCAUUCAGCAUUCGGGAAAAAUAGGAAUGUCAGGAAAAGUGGAAAAUGCUGUUAUGUGGACAAUAGCACAAAUGUCCUGAAUCACUGAAUGGCUCGAUGUUGGAACGGUUGGAUUCUAUUGAGAAAUGUGGAAGUAGUUGCGGAAUGCCUUUGAUCUCAUUAGACCACAGGCAUUCCGGAAAAAUGGGCAUGUCGGGAAAAGUGGGAAUUUUUGUGCAGUGGAUAAUAGCACGAAUGUCCUGACUUAUGAGUUAAUGCUGGGAUGCAGUGAACCGGUUGAGAAAUGCAGAAGUAGUAGCAAGAGUUAAAAGUUCAUUGGUUUUCUGGAAAAGUGGGAAUUUUAGGGGGAAAAAAAAUUAAACGUGGAAAAAUAGGUAGCCGUAAUGUCUGGAUUGUGCUGAACAAUUUGAUAUUGCAACUGUUAGAACUGGUUGAAAAAUGUUGUAGUUAAGACUAAUUAAGAUCAAAAGAAAAUAAUGAUACGGAAAAGUGGGAAUGAGGGAAAAGUUGGAAUUUUUGGAAUGUGGAAAAUUGUUAGUUUGAAGCAGAGGAUGUGUGGAAUGUUUUCAUGGUGAAAUGGCUUGGAUCAGUUGAGAAACGUGCAAAUGGUGGAAGUUUGAAAAAUGGCCCGUUCAUUUUCAAUUGGGAAAAAUGCUGUGGAAUUUGGGGAUUUUUAAUUUUGCAAAAAAUUACAUUUGUAGAUGAUGGCGCCAGCCAUGACAAACUAGCUUGCAGCUCAUGCUUAUUUCCCCAAGUCACGUAUUGUGGGGGCAGGGGGUACGUUGAGGCAAACAGGAGGAUGUUUACAGUGAUUAUAGCCAAGAUUUGAGCCAUGCGUCAGUUGUGUUCGACAAGGAAAGAAACAUUUGGAGAUGAAAUUGCACAACAUGGACUUAAGCCUUAAGACAUGGAGAUGAAGAUUGAUCGCCUUCAAAGCACAAAGACUUAUCCUUCAAUUAGCUUCUUAAUGAGCGUGAAGGGGUCUUUAUAGCCUGUUUUAAUGUUCAUGUGGCCUCACAUCGACGAUGAAUGUCUGCCGCUGCCCCCCCAGUAAACACACGACUGUGAAAAGAUGUUUAUAUAACAUAUAUAAUGCUUUGCAGUCUUGUCGCUAUCGUGGAUUAGUGUUUAGAAGACAUUACGCAAACAAGACGUGACUCUCUUGUGCCAGCUUCAACACAGUGGUCGUUCUUCAUUGUAUUGUUUUUUUCCUGUGUGCCGCAUCAGGAAUCGCAUAAAAAUGCGUUUAUAACGUACUUUCAAGCUAAAUGCUUCUUGUAAAGGUGUUCCUUUAUAGUAGUCAUCAGUGAAUUGAUCACUCCAAAGAACAAAACUCAAGAUGGGCGCCCAUCUGUCUCUGGUUCUGCACUUGCUUUGUCUAUGUUGUCUUAAAGCUUCUUCUUUUGGAAACGAAAAACUUAAAAGUAUCACUGGGAUACUGUGAACAUCCAGCAGCGACACAACAUUUUGGCAUGACUACUAUUUGGAUGAAAAAUGUACUGAACCAAGUCGACCAUCACCUGGAGAAGCGUUUGUUUACUAUGGUUAAGCUGAGGGGUUUCACCCCAGUACAUCUCAUCCAGAAAUGAGGCUGAUCUGCGAGCUAGUUUGUCACGGCUGGCGCCAUCGACCACAAACAUCAUUUUCGCAAAUUUAACGUUGGCUUUCAACAAAUCAAACAAUGUCGAACACAAUUCCAAACAGUAUAUAACAUUUAAGCAAGGUGAUGAGUUAUGUCAGGGAGCCUUCAAAGUCUGUCUGUAGUGCCCCAACUGUAACAGAAGCACCAUCCAUCCAUUCUUCAGACACCAACAUGUGGAUGCUUUGUUUGGAGAAAGACCUACCUGGAGAAGCAGCGCACGCACACCAGCUCGUCCACGUCCCAAAGGCUGACCAGGGCGUCGGCACUUCCCGUGGCAAAGUAUCUGCCGGUGGGGUCAAACUUGAUGCAGAUGCAGUUGGACGGGUGAGCGUUGAUGGACUGGAUGGGCUUCAGCUCAGGAUAGCUAGCAAACGACCAACCAGUCAUGUGACCUUCACACAAGCUAAAACUAAAUGCACGCUUGCAGACCACAACAAUGUAUCCCACCACUCCGCAGUCCUCUAAUGAGUGGCUUUUGUUACUGGAAGCGCUAAAACAAGUUAUAUAUUUAUAAUACAGACUUCUACAGGACACACCUGCUCGCAUGCUUUUACACAAAUGUGACAUGUAGGAUUACACCUUUUGCCUAGUAUCUUAUGCCCCUCCCCUUCCGCUCAAUAGCCAAGAUGGCGACUAUUGAGGGUGGGAAGUGUCCAUCACUGCACACUCACCAUUUUCAGUCUUGAGUGCAACAUCUGGGCAUUGACAGUCUAAUGCAUUUUACUCAAUUUCAACACACUUAUGCACACUGUAAGUGCACAAGUGUGCACCACCUUACAACUUAGACCAAGUGUAAGUAUGCAAGUGUGCACUUAUGCGCUAAAAGACUAAGUACACUAAGUACACAAGUGUGCACUUAUGCACUCAAAAGAUAAAUUGCAAGUACACGAGUGUGCACUUAUGGACUAAAAGUCUAACUAAGUAUGCACUGAAAAGACCAAGUAUAAGUAAACAAGUGUGCAAUUAUGCACACAAAAGAGCAAAUUUAAGUACGCAAGUGUGUGUACCAAGUGCACCAAUGAAGAGAGCAGCGACAGUAGUGAUGAGCUAUUAUUGCGUGUUUGGCUAAGAAGCUAACAGCCUUCCUGUCCAGAUGAUCAAACAUGGCUGCAUGGGCAGUGGCGGUGGGAGAAGACGACGACAGCGAGAGCGCCGUGAAUAAAAGAGGACGGCGGUCGCACCUGAGGAUAUUGAUGCAGCCGUUGCCGUUGGUGAGGAAGAACAUGUCGUUGUCAUUGUUCCACGAGAUCUCGUUCACCUCGAACUUGAACGGCUCCUCGGCCUUGGAGCGGUGCAUCUUGGCGUCGAUGAAGGUCACCACGUCGUCUUUGUUGCCCACGGCGAUGGUCUGCCCGUCGGGACUCCAGCAGAUGUUGAUGUUCUCACCUUUACAACAUAGAAAAACGUGGGCGUGUUGUCACGGCAACGCCAGCGGACGCCAAGAGAGCAGCAGGGAGGAGGUCGGGGGUGGGAGGUGUCCAUGAGGACGUGUUACUAACAUCUGGCGGUCCAAUUUCACAGUCUUCAGCGCUAGCUACUACAUCAUGGGAGCGUGUGGCUGCUUCAGUUCACCUUUGGUGUUGACCACAGCAAUGCACUUGGUGGUGCGCACGUCCCAGAUGCGGAUGGUCUUGUCUCCAGACGCCGUGACAAACAGAUCAGGAUUGGUGGGAUGCCAGCAGAGCUGAUCCACACUGUCCCCGUGACCUCUGUAGUUGUUUUCUUUCACCUGAGAGGAGGAAAGGAAAACAAACUAAUAUUUACUACACCUAAAUGAAGAUAACAUGCGCUUGUGUUUUUACAAAGUAGAGUGACGUCAUAAAGAGUUUGGCGUUCUCUCCACGACUUCCGGCUUGGGUGCAUUGGCGGUAUUGUAGCUGAUGUAAGACUACUUUCUAUAGUACAGUGUUAGUACUAACAUCGUUACCACGAAGCCAAAAUACAAACACAACACAAUAGGUGAGUAGGACCAAAGCUUCCAUUCAUUCAUCACAACGAGGCCGAGCCUGGACUCACCAGUCGGUCUUUUUCGAGGACAAACACGCUGGCGGUUUUGUCAAAGGAGCCGGAGGCCAGCCUUCUGCCAUCACAGCUCCACGCCACGGAGUGGACUUUAGCAGAAUGCGCCGGAAAUUCACGACUUUUGUUGUUAUUCUUGAAGCUCUCCUGCAUCGUCUGAUAGUAACGUGUCGCCAUCUUGGCUCUGAAACGUUUCAAUGGGCGGGCCGGUGCGGGGCGGAGCGUAGCUUACUCAGCGCCCCCUUGUGCUGCGGAGUGUCAUCACACGUCCAUGAAAAAAACGUUCACACAAGAAAUAUUUUCACUUUGAAAAGACAAAUUCUAAGAAAUGCUAUUAUUCUUCCCCUGCUUGUAGCUAUAUCAGUCAGCACAUUCCAUAAUAGAGAAGCACUCAGCGCAGACCUCCGCCAAGUGCCGUCGUUCCCCCAUUGACAUACUGUAUAUACGUAGACUCCGGAACGAGAGCUGAGCCGUACGCCAACGUCGCCGCCAUAUUGGAUGUGUCAAGGCUGCGCUGUAAACG